rnacentral:rRNA from 1 species
GACGAACGCUGGCGGCGUGCUUAACACAUGCAAGUCGAACGGUAAGGCCUUUCGGGGUCCACGAGUGGCGAACGGGUGAGUAACACGUGGGUGAUCUGCCCUGCACUUCGGGAUAAGCCCGGGAAACUGGGUCUAAUACCGGAUAGGACUGCGCGGUGCAUGCCGUGUGGUGGAAAGAUUUAUCGGUGCAGGAUGGGCCCGCGGCCUAUCAGCUUGUUGGUGGGGUAAUGGCCUACCAAGGCGACGACGGGUAGCCGGCCUGAGAGGGCGACCGGCCACACUGGGACUGAGACACGGCGCAGACUCCUACGGGAGGCAGCAGUGGGGAAUAUUGCACAAUGGGCGCAAGCCUGAUGCAGCGACGCCGCGUGAGGGAUGACGGCCUUCGGGUUGUAAACCUCUUUCAGCAGGGACGAAGCGUGAGUGACGGUACCUGCAGAAGAAGCACCGGCCAACUACGUG